rnacentral:rRNA from 1 species
GAUGAACGCUGGCGGCGUGCCUAAUACAUGCAAGUCGAGCGAACGGACGAGAAGCUUGCUUCUCUGAUGUUAGCGGCGGACGGGUGAGUAACACGUGGAUAACCUACCUAUAAGACUGGGAUAACUUCGGGAAACCGGAGCUAAUACCGGAUAAUAUUUUGAACCGCAUGGUUCAAAAGUGAAAGACGGUCUUGCUGUCACUUAUAGAUGGAUCCGCGCUGCAUUAGCUAGUUGGUAAGGUAACGGCUUACCAAGGCAACGAUGCAUAGCCGACCUGAGAGGGUGAUCGGCCACACUGGAACUGAGACACGGUCCAGACUCCUACGGGAGGCAGCAGUAGGGAAUCUUCCGCAAUGGGCGAAAGCCUGACGGAGCAACGCCGCGUGAGUGAUGAAGGUCUUCGGAUCGUAAAACUCUGUUAUUAGGGAAGAACAUAUGUGUAAGUAACUGUGCACAUCUUGACGGUACCUAAUCAGAAAGCCACGGCUAACUACGUGCCAGCAGCCGCGGUAAUACGUAGGUGGCAAGCGUUAUCCGGAAUUAUUGGGCGUAAAGCGCGCGUAGGCGGUUUUUUAAGUCUGAUGUGAAAGCCCACGGCUCAACCGUGGAGGGUCAUUGGAAACUGGAAAACUUGAGUGCAGAAGAGGAAAGUGGAAUUCCAUGUGUAGCGGUGAAAUGCGCAGAGAUAUGGAGGAACACCAGUGGCGAAGGCGACUUUCUGGUCUGUAACUGACGCUGAUGUGCGAAAGCGUGGGGAUCAAACAGGAUUAGAUACCCUGGUAGUCCACGCCGUAAACGAUGAGUGCUAAGUGUUAGGGGGUUUCCGCCCCUUAGUGCUGCAGCUAACGCAUUAAGCACUCCGCCUGGGGAGUACGACCGCAAGGUUGAAACUCAAAGGAAUUGACGGGGGCCCGCACAAGCGGUGGAGCAUGUGGUUUAAUUCGAAGCAACGCGAAGAACCUUACCAAAUCUUGACAUCCUUUGACAACUCUAGAGAUAGAGCCUUCCCCUUCGGGGGACAAAGUGACAGGUGGUGCAUGGUUGUCGUCAGCUCGUGUCGUGAGAUGUUGGGUUAAGUCCCGCAACGAGCGCAACCCUUAAGCUUAGUUGCCAUCAUUAAGUUGGGCACUCUAAGUUGACUGCCGGUGACAAACCGGAGGAAGGUGGGGAUGACGUCAAAUCAUCAUGCCCCUUAUGAUUUGGGCUACACACGUGCUACAAUGGACAAUACAAAGGGCAGCGAAACCGCGAGGUCAAGCAAAUCCCAUAAAGUUGUUCUCAGUUCGGAUUGUAGUCUGCAACUCGACUACAUGAAGCUGGAAUCGCUAGUAAUCGUAGAUCAGCGUGCUACGGUGAAUACGUUCCCGGGUCU